UCCAGGCAAGAAGACAGAGACGCUUGACUUUCUGUGUCACUUUAUUGGUCAGCCCAGAUGUUGCUACAGAUGUUGGGGGAGUGGGUCUGGCAGCAGAGCGGUGAGGGUCCACAGCCGGGGUCACACUGGGGUCACUGCCCCAGUCCGAGGGGCCACUGCCCACCCCUACUGCCACCGAGAGGUGGGGGGACAAUGAGAGUAGGGGGAGGUUACGGAGAGGGGGGACCGGAAGGGGGGAGUGAGGGGGAGGGAAGGGGAUGUGAGGGGAGUUAAGAGAGGGACACUGGAGGGGAGGGGGAGGGGGAGUGAAGGAGUGAGGGACCUUAGAAUCAGGUUUAACAUCACCUGACAUGACGUGAAAUGUGUUUUACGGCAGCAGUACAGUGCGAGGGUGGGGGGGAGGCAGGGGGGGCAGGGAAGUGAGGAAGGGGAGGGGGGAGCGGGAGAGGAGGGGAGGGGAGUGAGGGUCUGAGGUCUCCUGAUCUCAGCUUUGGACCCGGCGGAGACCCUUCCGGCCCAAGGUGACCAUGAUCACCACAGGUCCUUCAACACUGACCCCACCGGCUGCAUCAACUCCACAUCCCUGCGCCCGGCUCACUCAGGGACCUGUCCUGACGGCCCUUCACUGUUCACUGUUCCUGCCUCCUCCUCCUCCGGCAGCUCCUUCCAGAUACCAACUACUCGGUGUGAAAAACCUCAGAUCCCCUUCAAACCUCCUCCCUCCCACCUUAAACCAGUGUCAGACAUGGAGAUCUCUGUGGGAAACAGGGACUGACCACCAGCCUAGCUACACACCCUCGUGAUUUACAAACCUCUAUCAGGUCACCCUCAGCCUCCGUCGCUCCAGGGAAACAGUCCCAGCCUGUCCAGUGUUCUGCUGAUAACCCGAGUCCUCCAGUCCCGGUAACAUCCUCGUGAAUCUCUUCUGUCCCCUCUCCAGCUGAACCCCACCCUUCCUACAGCCUGGGCAACCAGAACUGCGCACAGUGCCCCAGUGUGGUCUCACCAAUGCCUUGUAUGGCUGUAACACGACUUCCCAACUCCUGUACUCUCUCCGUGCUGGGGUUUGGGGGUCUCUCAGUGUUGGGCUUCAUCAGUAUUGGGGUUCAGGUCUCAGUUCUGGGGAUCAGGAUCUCUUGGCCUUGGGGUUCAGGGACUUCCAGUGUUAGGGUUUGGGGUCUCUCAGUGUUGGGGUUAGGGGUGUCAGGACAUUGGGGUUUCAACAGUGUUAAUGUUGGUGUAUCUCUGUUUUGCAGUCUGAGAGUGUGGGUGGGGUGGGGUGUCGUGUGAGCCCCACCCCCCAUCCCUCUGGUGGGCUCCAGGGUGCCCCCCUCCUGUCUGGGGAUUUGGUACCUCAGUCACCCUGGGUCCGAACCUUUGGAUCGAGAGGUCCGGCGUCUCCCAAUGUUGGGGUGUGGGGUCACUGGGCAGUGAGGGGUUUUGGGGAUUCCUCUCAGUCUAUCCCGCUUCCCAGGGUUGUGGUCUGGGCUGUUCCUUGCUCCUGUUGGGGCUCGGUGUGGGGGGGAGGCAGGUGUGGUGGGGUGGUAUCAGUAUUGGGGCUAAGUCCUGGUCUUAGGUCUGCGUGGGUUUCACUAUCAAUGCUGCUUUCCUGACCAUCCUGGGACUGCUGGUUCCUUCUGGGCAAUGUGGGGGUUUGGGGCUGAAGCUCUCUCCUCUCCACCCCCACCCCCCCGCCCAUCCUCACCUCAUAGUUCGGGUUCAAGGUCUUGCUUGAGGGUUUCAGCUGGGCGGGGGGUCUCUCAGUGUUGGGGGUUCUUGUUUUGGGGAAGGGAGGGUUCAGUCUUUCCCUUGGGGUCUAGGCUCUGACAGUUGGGUGUCAGAUCCCCCCACCCCAGUGCUGGGGUUCAGGGGAGCACUUCCCUCAACCCGGGGUUCAGUGUCCCUAUGCCAUUCUUGGUUUGGGGCUCGGUGUUGGGGUUUGGGGGUCUCUCUCGGUCCUCUCUCUCUCUCUCUCUCUCUCUGGUAGAGUUGCAGGAAGCUCCGUCACUCCAUGGGAUUUGGGACCACUCCCCUCAGGUGUUGGACCUCAGCAGGGGAUGUGGAGACCCCCCAACCUGCCAUGUUGGGGUUUCGGGUGCUGGGGUUCAGGCUCUGGGGUUAGGGUUCAGGGUGUCUCAGUGUUGGAGGUCACAGUCGGUGUUGGGGCUGGGAUCCCCCUCUCCCUCCGGGUGGAAGCGGUCCAUGUUUGGAUCUCAUGGCGUUGGGGUGUGGUACCUUGGUCACCCUGGUUCAGAACCUUUCGACCAUGAGGUGCAGGAUCUUCCAGUGUUGGAGUUUGGGUCUCUGGGUUAUGGGUCACUUGUUGGGCUUCAAGUGUCCCUUGGCUUUGGUGUCUGUCCACGUCGGGGGUUCAGGGACUAUGCUGGGGCUUGGGCUUUUGAUUUGGGGUGUGUGUCAGGGUAUGGGGGUUGGCGCGAGGGUUUGGGGUGUGUUGGGGUACAGGGUCAGUGUGAGGGUUUGGGGUGCGUCAGGGUACAGGGUUCAGUGUGACGGUUUGGGGUGUGGGGGGCGGUGUGCGGGUUUGGGGUGUGUCAGGGUACGGGGCAGUGUGCAGGUUCAGGGUGUGUCGGGGUACAGCGGUGUGGGGGUUUGGGUUCAGAGUAUGUCAGGGUAUGGGGUCAGAGUGGGGGUUUGAGGGUGUGUCGGGAGACUGGUCGGUGUGGGGGUUUCGGGUGUGUCAGGGUACAGCGUCGGUGUGGGAGUCUGGGGUGUGUUGGGGUUCGGGGUGUGUCAGGGUACAGCGUCGGUGUGGGGGUUCAGGUUGUGUUGGUGUACGGCAUCGAUGUGGGGGUUCAGUCCUCCUCUUUAGGGUUGGGGAUUCAGGCUCCACGUCAUCCAAUGGGUCUGGGGAUCACCUUCUGCCCCCGCCACAUUCACAGCCUCUCCCUGUGUAGGCGGGUGGGAUGGGGGGGUUCUCCUAGUGUUAGGGCUCUCUCAGUGUCAGCGGGGGGGGGGGGGGGGCGGAGGGUGGGGAGUGGUGGUGGUAUCUCAGUGCUGGGGGUCCCUCUCUGUUGCUGCAGACGGCACAUCUCUCAGUUGGGUGUGGGGCUCCCCCGUACCCAUCUCUUUCACCGAUGGCUCCAGGGUCUCAGCGUUGGUCUCCUCCCCACCCCCAGUUUUGGGUCUGGUAUCUCUCAGGAAGGGUGGGGGGGGGGGGUUCAGUGAUGGUGAUCAGCUGCGCUUUCCCCGUUGGGGUUCAGGGUCUCCCGCUGAUGGGGGACAUGUACAUUCCUGCUUCCUGUUGGGAUCAUGGACUCAGAACACUGGGGUUCAGGGACACACAGGGAUGGGUUACAACCUCCCUUCUCACACGGUUGGGGAUCAGUGUCCCUGCUGCAAUAUGGGGGAGUAGGGAGGGUGGGUGAUGUCGGGGGUCUCUGUGUUGGGUGCAGUCAGCUGUAGGCCCUGCCUCUGUCUGUAGGUGGUUGAUAAUUGGGG